CCUACGGGUGGCAGCAGUGAGGAAUAUUGGUCAAUGGACGAGAGUCUGAACCAGCCAAGUAGCGUGAAGGAUGACUGCCCUAUGGGUUGUAAACUUCUUUUAUAAAGGAAUAAAACGAGGCACGUGUGCCUUUUUGCAUGUACUUUAUGAAUAAGGAUCGGCUAACUCCGUGCCAGCAGCCGCGGUAAUACGGAGGAUCCGAGCGUUAUCCGGAUUUAUUGGGUUUAAAGGGUGCGUAGGUGGAUUGUUAAGUCAGUUGUGAAAGUUUGCGGCUCAACCGUAAAAUUGCAGUUGAAACUGGCAUUCUUGAGUACAGUAGAGGUGUGCGGAAUGCGUGGUGUAGCGGUGAAAUGCUUAGAUAUCACGAAGAACUCCGAUUGCGAAGGCAGUUCACUGGACUGCAACUGACACUGAGGCUCGAAAGUGUGGGUAUCAAACAGGAUUAGAUACCCGGGUAGUC
rnacentral:rRNA from 1 species